UCGAAGGUAGCAUAAUCAGUAGUUUUUUAAUUGAAGGCUGGUAUGAAUGGUUGGACGAAAUAUUAACUGUUUCAUAAAAAUUUAUAUUAGAAUUUUAUUUUUUAGUUAAAAAGCUAAAAUAUAUUUAAAAGACGAGAAGACCCUAUAAAUCUUUAUAUUUAAAUUAUUAUAAUUUUAUAGAUUUUUUUUAUUAUAAUUAUUGAUAAUAUUUUAUUGGGGUGAUAUUAAAAUUUAAUAAACUUUUAAUUAUUUAAAUCAUUAAUUUAUGAAUAAUUGAUCCGUUAUUAAUGAUUAAAAAAAUAAGUUACUUUAGGGAUAACAGCGUAAUUUUUUUGAAGAGUUCUUAUCAAUAAAAAAGAUUGCGACCUCGAUGUUGGAUUAA
rnacentral:rRNA from 1 species